UGGAUGGAGGGCAGUGAGAGGAUGUGUGUGAACUUUCUGUCAUGAAGGGCAAUUUGCAGGAACUAAUCAUCUUACAAUAGUUGGUCAUAAGAAAGAAAUCCAUCAGCCAAGCAUCCUGAAUAGGCUGCAGUGAGAAGAAUGCCUCCAGGACAAGUGGCUGUCAGGAGUGGGGAAAUCUAGGAAUAUUCUGGACAGGAUGCUGCUCAUGCCCGCCAGAGAGAACUUCCCAACACCUGUCUUUCCAGGGAGUACUGGAACACUAAAGUUACCUGCAUCAGGUCUGGGAAGGACAAGAUAAAAGAGACUUCCAAGCAUGGGAAAGAGUAGGCCAUUGCUCCAGUGGCAGUGAGGCUAAGGACAGAAGACAGAGAGAACCAGUAGAGGACCAUCUUCACAGGGACAUGACGGUGGACUCCAGGGAUAGUGAUGUAUGGUAUCUUGUUUUAGAUUUCCUUUUCUCUGUAGUAGUUUGUUGAACAUCAUUACCUCAUGUUGUUGUGUUAGUAAAUAUUGAUGAAUGAAGAGAAGGUUCUGUAGCCAUGCUUUGGGGGAAAGUGGAAUAAAAAGGCUG
rnacentral:lncRNA from 1 species